ensembl:lncRNA
CGUCGAGAGAGGGAAUGGGCUGAGGCAGCUGUCACUUAACAUGUGAAUGUUUCGAGGGCGGCCCAGGGGUCUUUAGAAAACUCUCCUUUUUUGCCCCCCACCCCAUUUUUCAAGCAGAAGCAGCAUGGAGUUUCUGAGCCACAGUCAGGCCCAGAGGAGGGGCUUUGUUGAAUGAGAAGGGGGAGAGAGUGAGAGAGAAAAAGCCUGAGGAAGGUAAAGGGGGCACUUUGCCGCCUAGCUGCCUGGUACAGGAGCAACCUGAGCGGCAGCAGCGCUGGUGAGAAUGCCACCGGCGUGUCGUUACAUGGCACAAUCUGGCCUCCAUGCGAAAACUGCUCUUGGCCGGGAACUGUGGGAGUUCAACUGAGCCGUUGGAAUACAUUGUCUCCAUCUGGGCGCACUAUCCCAUCGCCGGCGUUAACAAGGAAGGAAUUCCUCUAUCGCAGCUCCCACAACAAAGAAGAAAGGGAGAGGAGCAGAGCUGGUGGGAGGAGAAGUGAAGUGAAGGGAGGGGAGGGGAGAGGAGGACAUUGUUUGUCUGUGACUGUGGGCAACGGAAAAGCAUGAGUUAUCAGGGCAUGUGAGAGUGUGUUUAGAAAGUGUGUUUGUAUGCGAGCAUGUGUGAAUGAGUGGACUUGAUUGAGUGCGCGUAGGAGGGAGUAUGCAUGUGUGUGAGGAGGCUUCAGUUUGGGAUGUUGGAGCUGGGAGGCCGUUCAAAGGAUGCUCAAACAAAGCUGGAUUUUUUUUUCUCUCUCUCCUUUUUGAAUGGUGAUUGAGGACUAGCUGGAUUCCUUUACUCAUGCUGUUGGGCCCAACUCUGCUCCAGGGUCUUUAGUCACCAAGCGUGACCUGAGGUGACCUGGAUAAUUCUGAAUGAACCAGUCCAACCCUGACUCAGAGGGAGGAUUCGGCCUCAACAGGAACCCUCCCUGUGAUCUCCCGAUGGGCUCACCUCAGCUCCUCUAGACCAAGAUAAUUACAUUCACCUCUAACCCGUCUGUCAAAACAAUGAAUUCACUGGGCUGAGGGGAAACAGACAGGCUGACACAGUUUGAUGCUGUCACUGCCAAUGGCUUUUUUUCAGGAAUAUAAUAAUUUUGGUCCAAUAAGAUGCGGGAUUAAAAAUUUAGUAGUAUGUUGUAAUGUAGUAGCAAGAGAAAGACAGGUGUCCUACUCAAGUGUGUGACCUUUACGGAAAAGCAGUUGCUUGUCAAAAGCAUUAAUAUAUUAAUACUGCAUACUAUGAGGUAUGCUAGUGAUUGUUGCCUGUUUUCCUAACCCCACCCCCAACCCCAGUGUUCCUGCCUCCCUUCUUGUUGACAUUCUA